rnacentral:rRNA from 1 species
GACGAACGCUGGCGGCGUGCUUAACACAUGCAAGUCGAACGGAAAGGCCCUGCUUUUGUGGGGUGCUCGAGUGGCGAACGGGUGAGUAACACGUGAGUAACCUGCCCUUGACUUUGGGAUAACUUCAGGAAACUGGGGCUAAUACCGGAUAGGAGCUCCUGCUGCAUGGUGGGGGUUGGAAAGUUUCGGCGGUGGGGGAUGGACUCGCGGCUUAUCAGCUUGUUGGUGGGGUAGUGACUUACCAAGGCUUUGACGGGUAGCCGGCCUGAGAGGGUGACCGGCCACAUGGGGACUGAGAUACGGCCCAGACUCCUACGGGGGGCAGCGGUGGGGAAUAUUGCACAAUGGGCGGAAGCCUGAUGCAGCAACGCCGCGUGCGGGAUGACGGCCUUCGGGUGGUAAACCGCUUUCGCCUGUGACGAAGCGUGAGUGACGGUAAUGGGUAAAGAAGCACCGGCUAACUACGU